CGAACGCUGGCGGCGUGCUUAGCACAUGCAAGUCGAACGCGAAAGGGACUUCGGUCCUGAGUAAAGUGGCGCACGGGUGAGUAACGCGUAGAUAACCUGUCUUCAUGUCUGGAAUAAUACGCCGAAAGGGGUACUAAUACCGGAUAUUCUUGCUUUUCAUAAGUUAUGCAAGCAAAGGUGGCCUCUGCAUAUGCUACUGCAUGAAGAGGGGUCUGCGUACCAUUAGCUAGUAGGUGGGGUAAUGGCCUACCUAGGCGACGAUGGUUAGCGGGUCUGAGAGGAUGAUCCGCCACACUGGCACUGGAACACGGGCCAGACUCCUACGGGAGGCAGCAGUGAGGAAUAUUGCGCAAUGGGGGAAACCCUGACGCAGCGACGCCGCGUGAGUGAGGAAGGCCUUCGGGUCGUAAAGCUCUGUCAAGAGGAAAGAAGUGUACAAUGGCUAAUACCUGUUGUAUUUGACGGUACCUCUAAAGGAAGCACCGGCUAACUCCGUGCCAGCCGCCGC
rnacentral:rRNA from 1 species